AUAGUUGCACCAUUGUUCUUACAUAAUAUAACCAUAUACAAUUUCAGCAGCACAUCUUAGAGGGAUUUACUGUGCCACAGUAAUGGUGCGUAGGUGAAAUCAUUGGGGAAGCCAAGACAGGUGUAGGUCAUGACAGGGUUUUAAAAAAGCCAUCUUACAACCUGUGUGUUGUGAUAAUUGCAUGAUUUGCUCUAUAACCUGUUAGUUCAUAUGCCUUGACACCGUGAUAUAUAGGUCUGAGGCCGAGACAAUAAGAAGAUACAGUGAUAUAUAGGUCUGAGGCCGAGACAAUAAGAAGAUACAGUGAUAUAUAGGUCUGAGGCCGAGACAAUAAGAAGAUACAGUGAUAUAUAGGUCUGAGGCCGAGACAAUAAGAAGAUACAGUGAUAUAUAGGUCUGAGGCCGAGACAAUAAGAAGAUACAGUGAUAUAUAGGUCUGAGGCCGAGACAAUAAGAAGAUACAGUGAUAUAUAGGUCUGAGGCCGAGACAAUAAGAAGAUACAGUGAUAUAUAGGUCUGAGGCCGAGACAAUAAGAAGAUACAGUGAUAUAUAGGUCUGAGGCCGAGACAAUAAGAAGACACAGUGAUAUAUAGGUCUGAGGCCGAGACAAUAAGAAGAUACAGUGAUAUAUAGGUCUGAGGCCGAGACAAUAAGAAGAUACAGUGAUAUAUAGGUCUGAGGCCGAGACAAUAAGAAGAUACAGUGAUAUAUAGGCCUGAGGCCGAGACAAUAAGAAGAUACAGUGAUAUAUAGGUCUGAGGCCGAGACAAUAAGAAGAUACAGUGAUAUAUAGGUCUGAGGCCGAGACAAUAAGAAGAUACAGUGAUAUAUAGGUCUGAGGCCGAGACAAUAAGAAGAUACAGUGAUAUAUAGGCCUGAGGCCGAGACAAUAAGAAGAUACAGUGAUAUAUAGGUCUGAGGCCGAGACAAUAAGAAGAUACAGUGAUAUAUAGGUCUGAGGCCGAGACAAUAAGAAGAUACAGUGAUAUAUAGGUCUGAGGCCGAGACAAUAAGAAGAUACAGUGAUAUAUAGGUCUGAGGCCGAGACAAUAAGAAGACACAGUGAUAUAUAGGUCUGAGGCCGAGACAAUAAGAAGAUACAGUGAUAUAUAGGUCUGAGGCCGAGACAAUAAGAAGAUACAGUGAUAUAUAGGUCUGAGGCCGAGACAAUAAGAAGAUACAGUGAUAUAUAGGUCUGAGGCCGAGACAAUAAGAAGAUACAGUGAUAUAUAGGUCUGAGGCCGAGACAAUAAGAAGACACAGUGAUAUAUAGGUCUGAGGCCGAGACAAUAAGAAGAUACAGUGAUAUAUAGGUCUGAGGCCGAGACAAUAAGAAGAUACAGUGAUAUAUAGGCCUGAGGCCGAGACAAUAAGAAGAUACAGUGAUAUAUAGGUCUGAGGCCGAGACAAUAAGAAGAUACAGUGAUAUAUAGGUCUGAGGCCGAGACAAUAAGAAGAUACAGUGAUAUAUAGGUCUGAGGCCGAGACAAUAAGAAGAUACAGUGAUAUAUAGGUCUGAGGCCGAGACAAUAAGAAGAUACAGUGAUAUAUAGGCCUGAGGCCGAGACAAUAAGAAGAUACAGUGAUAUAUAGGUCUGAGGCCGAGACAAUAAGAAGAUACAGUGAUAUAUAGGUCUGAGGCCGAGACAAUAAGAAGAUACAGUGAUAUAUAGGCCUGAGGCCGAGACAAUAAGAAGAUACAGUGAUAUAUAGGUCUGAGGCCGAGACAAUAAGAAGAUACAGUGAUAUAUAGGUCUGAGGCCGAGACAAUAAGAAGAUACAGUGAUAUAUAGGUCUGAGGCCGAGACAAUAAGAAGAUACAGUGAUAUAUAGGUCUGAGGCCGAGACAAUAAGAAGAUACAGUGAUAUAUAGGUCUGAGGCCGAGACAAUAAGAAGACACAGUGAUAUAUAGGUCUGAGGCCGAGACAAUAAGAAGAUACAGUGAUAUAUAGGUCUGAGGCCGAGACAAUAAGAAGAUACAGUGAUAUAUAGGUCUGAGGCCGAGACAAUAAGAAGAUACAGUGAUAUAUAGGCCUGAGGCCGAGACAAUAAGAAGAUACAGUG